rnacentral:rRNA from 1 species
GACGAACGCUGGCGGCGUGCUUAACACAUGCAAGUCGAACGGAAAGGCCCUGCUUUUGUGGGGUGCUCGAGUGGCGAACGGGUGAGUAACACGUGAGUCACCUGCCCUUGACUUUGGGAUAACUUCAGGAAACUGGGGCUAAUACCGGAUAGGAGCUCCUGCUGCAUGGUGGGGGUUGGAAAGUUUCGGCGGUUGGGGAUGGACUCGGGGGUUAUCAGCUUGUUGGUGGGGUAGUGGCUUACCAAGGCUUUGACGGGUAGCCGGCCUGAGAGGGUGACCGGCCACAUUGGGACUGAGAUACGGCCCAGAGUCCUACGGGAGGCAGCAGUGGGGAAUAUUGCACAAUGGGCGGAAGCCUGAUGCAGCAACGCCGCGUGCGGGAUGACGGCCUUCGGGUUGGAAACCGCUUUCGCCUGUGACGAAGCGUGAGUGACGGUAAUGGGUAAAGAAGCACCGGCUAACUACGUG